GACGAACGCUGGCGGCGUGCUUAACACAUGCAAGUCGAACGAUGAAGCCCUUCGGGUGGAUUAGUGGCGAACGGGUGAGUAACACGUGGGCAAUCUGCCCUUCACUCUGGGACAAGCCCUGGAAACGGGGUCUAAUACCGGAUAACACUCCUGCCUGCAUGGGCGGGGGUUAAAAGCUCCGGCGGUGAAGGAUGAGCCCGCGGCCUAUCAGCUUGUUGGUGGGGUAAUGGCCCACCAAGGCGACGACGGGUAGCCGGCCUGAGAGGGCGACCGGCCACACUGGGACUGAGACACGGCCCAGACUCCUACGGGAGGCAGCAGUGGGAAUAUUGCACAAUGGGCGAAAGCCUGAUGCAGCGACGCCGCGUGAGGGAUGACGGCCU
rnacentral:rRNA from 1 species